UUUAGACCUGAAUCAGUCGAGACUACCCGCUGAAUUUAAGCAUAUCAAUAAGCGGAGGA
rnacentral:rRNA from 1 species